GGGCUCGUGGCUUAGCCAGGAUAUAGCGCUGGGCUUCUAACCCAGACGUCGGGGGUUCAAAUCCCUUCGAGCCCGC
rnacentral:tRNA from 3 species